GUUUAUCCAAGAAGUACAGUACACUACAGACUCUGAUAGACAACGAGAAAAGCGACAGUUUGAGCAUGUUUUACGAAGCGUCCAGCGUCAAAGAUCAAAUAUUUUUCGGUAAUCUAUACACGUACACGUUAUCAACUGGUGUAACUGAAACGCAAUGGGCCGUUUGGAGGGAUUACAAGAAGUGGACACAUUGAAAACUGAAACGUUCUCCUUGACGUAUUCUGCCUACAUACCUGAUGAAUGCCGGGAUAAAUCCGAUGAUGAUAGUGAUGAUAGUGAUGACGACGAUGGUGGGAAGAGCAAAUAGAGAGCGUUCAUAACCCGAUCCAGCAAAUAUGAUUCUACCGAGAACAAUAUUAUUGCUUUAUUAUUUGUAUCUUAAUACACUAAAAUUAUUUACUUUAACAUUCACAAGGUUUAGAAAUUAAAAUAUUUUUAUUAUUAAUUAGGCCUAUCUGAAUACUUUUGCGUCAACUCAGAAAUAUUAUAUAACAGUUCGAUGUUUUAAAAUUUAAAACAUAAUUUUCUUAAUUACAUUAACACACAUUUUAAUCAAGAUUUUAAAAAGAAGAAGUAAGUUACAUCAAUCUAGAUAUGUUUAGUAUGAUUUUUCUUAAUACAUUAUGCAUACAUGGGAACUCUGUAAUGUUUACUUGUAAUAUAACAGUUGGGUGUUUUUAAAUUUAAACUUCCGUUUUCCUUAGCAUCACAUGGCAACUCGGUAAUAUAUAUGUUAACAGUUGAAUAUUUUCAAAUUUGAAGUUUGAUUUUCUUAGCAUUUUAAUAUUUAACUUGACUGUUAGAUGUUUCCAAAUUCUGUUCAUAUGGAUCAGCGAAAUAAAAUACUUCUUCCCAAGAUACACGAUUUUUGUUGCGUUUAAUGUUAGGUUCAGACUACCAGCUAUUACGACGGAGUUGGCUAACUCGACGAUUUCUCGACUCCUACCACUGUCCAGUUGCUAGUUUGAGCACUCUUACAACUCGAUUCUCGUCGUAGACAACUCCUAAGACUGUCCAGUUGCUAGUCUGAGCACUCUUACAACUCGAUUCUCGUCGUAGACAACUCCUAAGAUUGUCCAGUUGCUAGUCUGAGCACUCUUACAACUCCAUUCUCGUCGUAGACAACUCCUAAGACUGUCCAGUUGCUAGUUUGAGCACUCUUACAACUCGAUUCUCGUCGUAGACAACUCCUAAGACCGAUUAUUUGUUAAUUUAUCGUCAUAACUCGGGAGUGGGGGGAAAUUACAACGCAACUUCGAGUUAGCCAACUCCGUCGUGACAAUUGAUAGUCUGAAACUGAAAUUUCGGAUGAGAUGACCUAAAAGACUAAAAGACUGGAUGUUGGACAAAAUGUCAAAGGUCAAACUGUGACAUUUCGUCCAAUGACAUUGUGACCACUGACAUUUUGUCUGCACACCAACAGACUACAUAAAACAAUCAGAAUGAGAAUUUAUUUAUUUUACAAAUAUUUCAUACAUCCAUACCUUGUACGUGUACAGUAGCGUAACUCAUACCAAACUAAAUUAACAAUAUUUUGAUUUUUAAUUGCAGCAUGAUAAUAAUAAUAAUAAUGUUUUUUAAAGCCACAAGCCAACAUUGCAACAACCACCCAUAGAUUGCUUCCUAAAAUCUGUACAUAACCGUUAUCUGUAGGUGUCUAGGAUAGCCUUGGAUUUGACUAGAAUACAAUUAUAAACAUAGAUUAUUUGGAUAAUUAUGGCAAGUACCAUACAGUAUGGGUUGAUACAUAGAAUACUUUCACAGUUAUGGCAAGCAACAUAGAUUAGGGGUUGAUACUGUGGCAUGCCAUAAUGGCAGGUUUGCCACACACAUACACACGCACGUGCAUACAUACUUGCACAACUCACACAACUGAAGCCAGCUAGUCACGUGUGUGUGUUACAAGGGGGAGGGGGAUUAAAUUGAACAAAAAACACCCAACAAAUUAUCAGGGUCUUGAAGUGGGGGUGGGGGGCUAUUAUGAGCUUCUUCAUAAAAAAAUAAAUAAGGAGAAACGAAAAAAGGGUAGGAUACCCUAACCCUAACCCUGCUUUCUGGCUCGGAUUCAGGCGGACGCCCAAGCCGCCCCCCCCCCCCCCCCCCCACCCCCCUAUUUUUGUUGAAACAAUAUACAUUACAGAAUACACAAAAAUGCAAAAUAAUCCCGUCCAUCUAUAAAGGACCUUUAAAUUCUAUUUUCAAAAACUACAACAGGUUUUGGUCCCUCUCUAUUAACAAAACCUGGAUCCGCGCCUGGCUUUAGAGUAGUGUUAAAAGUGUGAAAUUAUGUAAGAAUGCAGAGGCUGUUUAUUACUGAGGUGAGUAAAGACACUGGUGACUGUAAAACAUUUUAAAAAACAGUUUACAUCUCCAUACAGAUACACAGACACUUUAUUAUGCAGUAAUUAAAUAGACAACCAAA